rnacentral:piRNA from 1 species
UAAUGGGGAUCUGCGUGGUAC